rnacentral:tRNA from 1 species
GGCCUUCUAGCUCAGUUGGCUAGAGCCUUGGCUUAACUGAAGCCUUUAAAUUGCUGGCAUGGGUUCAAAUCCCACCGAGGCCA